rnacentral:tRNA from 12 species
CGGGGUGUAGCGCAGCCUGGUAGCGCAGCUGUUUUGGGUGCAGCAGGUCGGAGGUUCGAAUCCUCUCGCCCCGACCA